AGCAGGCUAGCAGGCGAGUGGAUGGGGAUAGACAGAUUUUCCUGUGAUGAAGUGAGCCAGUGUUAAGAGUUUGGGGCCAAGAAAUGUCUGCAAAUUUGGUUUUUCCUCAAUUAUAUAUAUUUUUUUCUCCCAUAAACACGAGGGUCUUUAAAACAUUUCCCUACAGCUAUUGGUUUCCUUUUUUGGCAACUGUGCACAAGUUCAUAUCAGCCAUCCCUCUACCAAGUCUUUUACCGGAGGAGUGGAGGGAGAAGAAAGCUCUGAUUCACCUGGGACCCUGUAGAGAACUGAAGGAUUGGGAUGGACCGACUUCCAGAAAAGCUAACUUGUGCGUGAGGAUCAGAAAGACUUGUGUUUUUCAUCAAGUGAGAAAUCAGUACUGGGGCAAGCGGGAAUCCACAUAAUGCAUUUUCCAUGAGAUAGCUCAUUCCAUGAGAUGGCUGGUCCGAAUGGAAAGUGCAGGAGUUGGCGCCAUCAGGCCGUGUAUAGCACAGAAUUGCAUUUAAAGUGAAAUUAAAAAUGAGGUCCAGUUUGGAGAUUUAAUUACCGUAUAUUUGUGUAACCGUUUGCAAAGUACUAUAGAGUGCUAUUUGUCUACGAUCGAGAAUCAUUUACGCGGGUCAUUUGGAGAUGCCAAGAGCGCUAAAGCUGUUUGGGGGAAGUGGGGCGGGGGCGCUGGCGUUUAUGCGGUCUUUUCACCCACCCUCGCCUAAUCAGGCGGCUCUCAAUCAGGUUUUCAAAAUACUAAUCUUGAUCUAAGAGCUCCUAUCUCUGCAUAAGUGGAGGAAAUGAUUCAUUUUUAGAGCCUUCUGGGCUUGGGAAAGGAGGAUGGUCGUCACACAUAAGCAGAAGACCUAAAAGCCAGGACUGGCGUCUGCUUUACUUCUGGCACUCUGCGGGACACGGACUUCUCCUGCGGUGUUAAUUUCGUGCACCCAGCUUGCUCGAUGACAGAGUCUGAUGUCUAACUAUCGACUGGUGGACUAAUGCCCAGAUUCAACAAAGGACGCCUCCAUCUCUAAGCCAGCAGAGGUCCAAAGGCCUUGGCUCACUUCUGGAACUUCCCUUUCAGCCUUGACCAAUACUUUGUAACUCUGUAACUAGAGUGCCUGGCUAAGGCUAUGCACAGGCCAAGGCAUCUCACCCUUUGCCACAGCUUGGGAGAAGUCUUCAGAAAUAAUUUUCCUAACACAAACAGAAGAAAGUCCACUCCAACAGUUCUAUCCACAGCUCUAGGCCAGAAAGAUCACGGAGGCAGGAGCCACAUACUGCUCCCAUUGUUUGAAAUUCAAUUUAAAGCCUGGCAUUAUACAAUAAACCUCUGCUUUUUGAAUGAGA